GUGGUCAAGCUAAUAAGGGCUCAUGGUGGAUACCUAGGCACACAGAGGCGAAGAAGGACGUGGUUACCUGCGAAAAGUUCCGGGGAGUUGGAAGCAAACAGAGAGCCGGAAAUAUCCGAAUGGGGCAACCCUGAAAACUGUCUGUUGAAUAUAUAGACAGGAAAGAGCGAACCUGGCGAAUUGAAACAUCUUAGUAGCCAGAGGAAAAGAAAUCAAAAGAGAUUCCCCGAGUAGUGGUGAGCGAAAGGGGAAGAGCCUAAACCAAGGGGUAUACCUCUUGGGGUAGUGGGACAGCAACAUCGAAUCCAGAGACUAGACGAAGCAGCUAAAUACUGCACCAGAGGGGGUGAAAGUCCUGUAGUCGAAAGUUAAAGGAUAGAAGCUGAAUCCCGAGUAGUACGGGGCACGAGAAAUCCCGUAUGAAUCAGCGAGGACCAUCUCGUAAGGCUAAAUACUACUGUGUGACCGAUAGAGAACAAGUACCGCGAGGGAAAGGUGAAAAGAACCCCGGGAG
rnacentral:rRNA from 2 species